CGGUACCCUAACCGUGCGAAGGUAGCAUAAUCACUUGUUCUUUAAAUGAGGACUUGUAUCAACGGCACCACGAGGAUUAUACUGUCUCCCCUUUCUAAUCAGUGAAACUGAUCCCCCCGUGAAGAAGCGGGGAUAAGCUUAUAAGACGAGAAGACCCCAUGGAGCUUUAAACCAGUAUGCACCUCUGCACAACAAAUCAGCUUAGCCACAAAGGUAUGUAUACUUGCUUUAGGUUGGGGUGACCGCGGAGUAAAACUAAACCUCCACGACAAAUGGGCUAAAGCCCUAAUCCAUGAAUCACAUUUCUAAGAACUAAUAAAUUAAUGUCCAAUGACCCAAUUAUUUGAUCAACGAACCAAGUUACCCUGGGGAUAACAGCGCAAUCUACUUCAAGAGCCCCUAUCGACAAGUAGGUUUACGACCUCGAUGUUGG
rnacentral:rRNA from 1 species